CAUGCAUACUUCAUCAAACUCAAAAUAUCCCACACAUAUCUCAAAGUGGCAUGCUAGGCAAUAAAUUAAAGUAAGGAUCAAUAUACAUAAGGUACCAUGGUGAUCUCAGGUCAAAGGAUCACUUGCACCACUCUCACUGGAGAAUCAUCUGUUGACAUGCUAUAAGACUCCAUCAAAUGUUCUCUCUGUGAAUCAGUUC
rnacentral:lncRNA from 1 species